UAAGAGUUGUCAGAUGCAAGCAACUGUAAAACAGGCUUCACAUGAUAACAAAGGCAAAAGGUAUAAUUUUAUUUCAUGAUUUCGUAUUUUUAUUAUGUGAUGAACCUUACCCGACCCGAACCCUCGAGCUCGAGCUCAAAUAUGUAGCCCGGCUCGUUUACAACCCCAAGUCAUGUGAUGCUAUUUAGCAAUUUAUAGUUUUUUUAAAACUUGAAUACAGAGUCUUAUUUGACACUUUAGCAGACUUUAACUGUAUAAGUCCGAUGAUGUCAUAAGUGUGUGGGGAUUUGGCAUUUGAUAUAGCUGAGCAUCACACAGAAGCUGGCUUGUAGCAUCUGAUUGUAGUUGUGUGGUAUUUGUUUGUAUUUAUAGAAAAGAAAAGAAAAGGUUGCUCAAGUGUGCUUGAAUUAGUGUUCCUGAACUUUACGAUAUCACGUUAUUACUUUCAAAAAGACAUAG
rnacentral:lncRNA from 1 species